rnacentral:rRNA from 1 species
UACGGAGGGUGCGAGCGUUGUCCGGAAUCAUUGGGCGUAAAGGGUGCGUAGGCGGCGCGGUAAGUCAGUGCUGAAAUAUCCCGGCUUAACCGGGAGGGUGGCAUUGAUACUGCAGGGCUUGAGUGAAGUCGAGGUAGGCGGAAUUGACGGUGUAGCGGUGAAAUGCGUAGAUAUCGAGAGGAACACCUGCGGCGAAGGCGGGUUGCUGGGCUGACACUGACGCUGAGGCGCGAAAGCUAGGGGAGCGAACGGG